rnacentral:miRNA from 2 species
UAGAAUAGGGGAGCUUAACUUA